UACGUAGGGUGCAAGCGUUGUCCGGAAUUAUUGGGCGUAAAGAGCUCGUAGGCGGUCUGUCGCGUCGGCUGUGAAAACUCGGGGCUCAACUCCGAGCUUGCAGUCGAUACGGGCAGGCUAGAGUUCGGCAGGGGAGACUGGAAUUCCUGGUGUAGCGGUGAAAUGCGCAGAUAUCAGGAGGAACACCGAUGGCGAAGGCAGGUCUCUGGGCCACUACUGACGCUGAGAAGCGAAAGCGUGGGGAGCGAACAGG
rnacentral:rRNA from 1 species